rnacentral:lncRNA from 1 species
GAUCCGAAUGAUGAGGAAACCAGCUCUGUGAAGAUCAGAAGGACCAGCCUGUACAAAGGCCCAAAGUUGGGAAGAAAAGGUGAAGAUGGGCAGAAAAAUGAACCAUCAAAAAAGAAGAAGGAGGAUCAAUGCAUGACUCAUGAAUCAGUCUUGCUUUACUGAAAAGUUUCAGAAAACUCAAGAUUUUCUUCAUGCACUCAAUUUGUGGUAAUACAACCUCAAGCAAAUCGUAUAUUUAUCUGAUAUGUGCAUGCUGGAAACUUUCCGUCUCAUACUUUCCAGAAUCUCAGGACUCACCCAGCACAAGAGGGGGCUGGAAUUUGGAAAACAUAAGAUUGAUUUUAAACCUAAAGACUCAGUGAAGAUUUCUGUAUCUGAAUCUCUCUGCCUACCUAUUAAAUGUUGUUCCCAGGGAGAUCAGCUCCAACUGGAACCAGAGUGAAGCUUCUAUUCCCCUAUCCAUGGACAACACCUUCACCCACCUAGGCAUCUAGACAUCUAGACACAGACCUAUGUCCCACCUAGAGAUCUAGGCACUGAGACAUCUAGAUACCUAGAUAUGUCUAGACAUCUUCCCAGCAAAAAAUCCCAAUCCAACUCGCUCCUGGUCAUUCCUACUUGGAUGUCUCACAGACACUUCAAAAUCAAUGUUGUAAACGAAAUUAAUCCUCUAUCUCCUGACCCUCAAUGGCCCUCCCUCAUCAUUUGUGUCUUGCAGAAUGACCCCACCAUUCACCAGUUUUUCCAGCUGAAACCCAGGAGGCCACAACAGGAUUUGAGCGGCCUAUAGAGAUCCAAAUGCUACUGACAGCAGCACUGAGGGCCCACUCAACUGCAGGAUGAGGGGCCCUGGCAUGACAGGUACUCCUGAUGAGUACUUUAGCCAUCCUGCUCCAAACUGCUUCACUCGCUUUAUCCCUGCAAUUGCCUAAGAUAACAGUCCCCAGAACUGAUUAGCCAGUUUCAUCUAAGGUGGGGUCCGCAAACUGGUUAAUUUUCCAAAUAAAGUUUUAUUGGGACUCAGCCACACCCA